AUUGAACGCUGGCGGCAUGCUUUACACAUGCAAGUCGAACGGUAACAGGCCGCAAGGUGCUGACGAGUGGCGAACGGGUGAGUAAUGCAUCGGAACGUGCCCAGUCGUGGGGGAUAACGCAGCGAAAGCUGCGCUAAUACCGCAUACGAUCUAUGGAUGAAAGCGGGGGACCGUAAGGCCUCGCGCGAUUGGAGCGGCCGAUGUCAGAUUAGGUAGUUGGUGGGGUAAAGGCUCACCAAGCCAACGAUCUGUAGCUGGUCUGAGAGGACGACCAGCCACACUGGGACUGAGACACGGCCCAGACUCCUACGGGAGGCAGCAGUGGGGAAUUUUGGACAAUGGGCGCAAGCCUGAUCCAGCAAUGCCGCGUGCAGGAAGAAGGCCUUCGGGUUGUAAACUGCUUUUGUACGGAACGAAACGGCUCUGGUUAAUACCUGGGGCUAAUGACGGUACCGUAAGAAUAAGCACCGGCUAACUACGUGCCAGCCGCCGCCGUAACAC
rnacentral:rRNA from 1 species